GGGGAUAUAGCUCAGUGGUACAGUGCUUGCUUAGUAUACAAGAGGCCCUGUGUUCAAUUCCCAGGACCUCAG
rnacentral:tRNA from 1 species